AACGUAGGUGGCGAGCGUUAUCCGGAUUUACUGGGCGUAAAGCGUGUGCAGGCGGGGAGACAAGUGGUGUAUGAAAUUUCCCGGCUUAACCGGGAAGGGUUAUGCCAGACUGUCUUUCUGGAGUGCGAGAGAGGGUAGUGGAAUUCCGUGGUGUAGUGGUGAAAUACGUAGAGUAUCAGGACGGAACAGCCGGUGGCGGAAGGCGGCUACCUGGCUCAAUACUGACGCUGAGAUGCGAAAGCGUGGGGAUCAAACAGG
rnacentral:rRNA from 1 species